rnacentral:rRNA from 1 species
UACGGAGGGUGCAAGCGUUAUCCGGAUUCACUGGGUUUAAAGGGUGCGUAGGCGGGCAGGUAAGUCCGUGGUGAAAUCUCCAAGCUUAACUUGGAACUGCCGUUGAUACUAUCUGUCUUGAAUAUUGUGGAGGUGAGCGGAAUAUGUCAUGUAGCGGUGAAAUGCUUAGAUAUGACAUAGAACACCCAUUGCGAAGGCAGCUCACUACACGAUAAUUGACGCUGAGGCACGAAAGCGUGGGGAGCAAACAGG